rnacentral:lncRNA from 1 species
GCCAGCAGGGGCAAAUUCCACUCCCUUGAACCCGCUGCGCUCCACCCCUCGUGGGAGGGGGAGCACAGGUGAGCAGGUACAGGAGGAGCUGGGGAAGCACUCUUGGGCACAUGCAGGAGUGAAUUCCGUACCGGCCCCACAGCAGCAUCAGCGGGGCGGGGGUGCCCACGACCCCCGAAGCCCCAGAGGAACUGUCACAGUACUCUUUUAGCUCUGCCCUCUGUGGAUGGCUUAAGUGUUAACAGCUCAGUGGACCCUAUGUCUUUUAGCAUAAGGCGGCUACCUUCUGCCAGCGAGGGCAAAGGGUCAGUGUGGCAGCCUUUUGCCUCCACACUCACUGCACCUGAGCUGUUGUCAAGCAUCCAGGAGAAAUGAAGUAGCACAAACGAAUUGGAGGAUGGUAAAUGUGGGGGAUUUUAUUGCUGUUGGACGUGGCUCUCAGAGGGAAGAGGAGCUGAAAAGCAGACAGAGAAGGAAGGUAAUCUUCCCUCAAAGUCCAGCUGUCUCCUGGGAUUCUUCUUGAAAUUUACACCGUCGAGCUGUCCCUCUGAAAGACACGGACACUUCGGAAAGCGUUCUGCGGACAGUUAUCAAGAUGAUGAAUUGCAGUGAACACCAAGACACAAAAGGCUUAAUUUGCUCUUCUUUGUCAAGAUUUCUAAUGCUGAGCUGAGCUAGUUGAUUUGUAUUCCUUUCCUUCUAAUGCAUAUAUUUAUCAAAGACUUGGAACCAACCGAAACAUCCAUCAAUGAUAGACUGAAUAAAGAAAAUGUGGCACAUAUACACCACGGAAUACUUUGCAGCCAAAAAAAAGGACGAGUUUAUGUCCUUUGCAGGGACAUUAAUGAAGUUGGAAACCAUCAUUCUCAUCAAACUAACAGAAGAACAGAAAACUAAACACCGCAUGUUCUCAUUCAUAAGUGGAAGUUCAACCAUGAGAACACACGGACACAAGGAGGGGAAUAUCACACACCGGGGCCUAUCGGGGGGUGGCAGGCUUGGGGAGGGAGAGCAUUAGGGGAAAUACCUAAUAUAGAUGACGGGUUGAUGGGAGCAGCAAACCACCAUGGCACGUGUAUACCUAUGUAACAAACCUGUAUGUUCUGCACAUGUAUUCCAAAACUUUAAAUGUAAUAAAACAAUUUAAAAAUGUGUUCAAU